GUUUUGAUCAAAUUCCUUUCUUCUGUUAAUGGAGACAUCCACUGGCCACAUCACAGGUCAGAGCCCUCAAAUCACCUUCGACUGCUUAGUUUUGAUGGUCAACACUGGUAUGUCUCCAUACUCCAUACUCCAUACCACUCCAUACUCCAUACUGCUGCUUUUAUCAUUCCUGUGCACGCUUCCCCCAGCUUAUAGGUGCUUCUGCUGCUAGGCUGUCACCUGCUACUCUCUCUCUGUAAGACUGCUCUCUGACUACAGAAAGCUGGAAGCCCUGGAAGUUCGUACCUCACAUGGAAGCCCUUGGCCAGUGACUGGCUGGUGCAGGGGUAGGAAAGCCCAGCUCCCUUGGCUCAAGCUGGGAUCGACUUGGAGGUAUCACUUCCAUUUGAGAGUUUCUCUGCAGGAUUAGGCUUAAGCUACUCUCUGGGAACUUUGCCUAAAAUCAUACCUUUGCUUGGCCUCCUCCCCCUCCCUGUCUGCUUCACUCACUUGUUGUUGUGUUGUUGUUGUUGUUGUUGUUGUUGUUAUUGUUUAGAGAAAGAGUCUCACUCUGUUGCCUAGGCUGGAGUGCAAUAGCACCAUCAUCGCUCACUGCAGCUUUGAAUUCCUGGACUGAAGCAAUCCUUCAGCCUCAGCCUACAGGUGUGUGCCACCGUUUCCAGCUAACUUUUUAAAUUUUUUGUAGAGGCAGUGUCUCGCUACGUUGCCCAAACUGGUCUUGAACUCCUGGGCUCAAGCAAUCCUUCCACCUCAGCCUCCCAAAGUGCCAGGAUUACAGGAAUGAACCACCACACCUGGCUGACAUUUUACUGGUUUCUCCUGGAGUCACAUCCCUAAUAAGUUACCUGUACAUGAACCCUUGUCUCAGAGUUCUGCCUUGACAGAGCUGGAACCAAUGCAUGUCCCGUAUAUAAUCACAAGGUUCUCUAAGUCUCUGUUUUCUAAUUCCAGCACUCUAGGUUACAUACGUAUGUUUUAUUUUAUAGUUUGCUGCAACAGAAUUCUAACUCGGUUUACUUUUAUUUAAUUCAUUUAUUCAGCAAAUAGUAUUGUCUGUCUACUAUAUUCUAAGAUCUUGAUUUAAAUUCAUUUUCCAUUAAUUUGUCCUGAAACACCAUUUUCAUGAGGUCACCUCAGUGAUCGAAACCUUUUAGUGUCUCUCAGUCACCUAAAGAAGUUUUUCUUUAGGCCUGAGGAGUUUCUCUUAUUAAAGGGGUUAAAAGAUAUAUAUAUGUGUGUGUGUGUGCAUAUAUGUAUAUGUGUGUGUGUAUAUGUGUGAAUAUAUACAUGUGUAUAUACACACACACACACACACACACACGUAUAUUUUAUGGACCCUCAAUGUAAUGUUAAAAAUUCAUUAUAAUUUAAUUUCAAUAUGUAUAAAUAUAAAACUAGUCAUAAACUCUUUAUUCUGACAGCUUUGAUAUAACUACAAAUCUAGAAUAAAUUUUUAAAUUAUAUUCAAGCACAACUAGAGAACCAAUAAAAUUUAAAUUCCCAACAUUAAUUUAAUGUGACAUGAUGUUAUUUUGCUGGAACAAAAUCACUGAUAUUUGGCUUAAUAGAGGAAGAAUAUAGUCUCAAGUUUGUUUGAAUACUCAAUCUGGUUCUGUAUUUCAGUUUUAAUAAUGCUAAUGUAAGGAACAGCCAUUCUCACAAGCAUGCUGUAUAAGAUUGUAUUAAUCACUGCAUUUUUUUUCUAAUUCAGGAUCAUCAGAACCAAAAGUCUGUCUGGGAAUAAUCCUUGCAUGCCAGUUGUAUUGAGGCAUCCAUUGAUAACACUGCACAACUAUUUUGUUCACGGCUUCAAGUCAGGAGAUCCACUCACAUGGAUGGACAUUCACUGUACAGAGGAGGUCUAGUAUAUCCAGCCUAAUGGAUGAUAUGAGCAGGUUCAGUUUGCACAUGUUUUCUCUGUGUAAACAAUGGUGAGAUCUUUAUGCAUUCAUCUGCUGGGAUAUCAUUCAGCCUUCACUUGGUAAGACCACCACAGGAUAGUGCACAGUUACAGGGUUGAUCUCCAUAGUAUGCUCAUAAUGUUUUCUAAUUUUCAUCAAAAAUUUUAAAGCAAAGUUUCAUAGAGAACUUAGGAAUCCUGACAAUAAGUGCUAGGACCCCCAAGAUGUUAGGAAGGGCAGUCCACUGACCUCAGAGUAACACUGACCUACUGAAUGAGGGUCUAGAGAGCCUGAAAUUCAAAGCUGAAGUCUACCUUCGAGCUCCUUCAUAAACUUUUUAAAGCCAAACUGAUCCACUAACAAUAUAUUGAUCGCAUAUUUUCCUUACUAUAUGCAGGAUUCACACCUUUAUGACUGUCUGGUUUUCAUUUUAACCUAUCUAAGUCCUACACAGAGGCCAGGCCUUUCUAGGUUACUGUAGUUCAUGACAAACUCACAAUUCCUAACACUCAUUUGCCAAUUAAUCACAUGCUGCAUCAUAAUAUCCUUGUUUUUAUGUUGCUAUUUGACAUUUCAUAUGUUUAUAUGCUUAUCUCCAACUAGGCUGCGAUGUCUACAAUGAGAAUAAGCCAAGAAGGCUUGAUGGAAGAAUGUGAUUUUGCAAUCACAGCCACCUGCUCUUGGACAUGAACUCAGCUGUGUACUAGCUGUGACCUUGAGUUUCCAUGUUGCCAUUAUUAUUAUUAUUUUUUUUUUGACAUGGAGUCUCAUUCUAUUGCCCAGGCUGGAGUGCAGUGGCACGAUCUCGGCUCACUGCAAGCUCCUAGGUUCACACCAUUCUCCUGCCUCAGCCUCCCGAGUAGCUGCGACUACAGGCACCUGCCACCACGCCCAGCUAAUUUUUUGUAUUUUUGAGUAGAGACGGGGUUUCACCAUGUUAGCCAGGAUGGUCUCGAUCUCCUAACCUCAUGAUCCACCUGCCUCGGCCUCCCAGAGUGUUGGGAUUACAGGCAUGAGCCACCAUGCCCGGCCCAUGUUGCCAUUAUUUAAGAGUGACACCUUACCUUUUUCACAGUGUUGUUGUGUGGAUAAAUAGCUGAAAGCAUGUUACUGAGUGCCUAUAACAGGGCAGGUGCCCACCAACUAGGAGUUCCCUUUCUUACUUUGUAAACCUUUAUUUUCAUUGAAUGCUUUUCUUGCCAAUAACAUUGAGAAAUUCCCAGUAUCAUCCUGAAGGUCUGGCCCUUGUGAUGAGUUAAGAGAUUUUUAGUUCCACUAUGACAUGCUAAUAAUCUAAACAGCCUGAAAACUCAUUUUUAUAAGACACUAUUCUGGGGAGGGAACAUCUGGAUCUCUUUCAUCUUUCUUGUAAAAAUUAUCCUGUCUGUGCCCAUAGAAAGAUAAAGAACUGCUAAGGAGAUUCUCAUGGCCAUGGUUACAUUUUGUUUAUAAGAAACUUUUUAAUUUGACUGAAAGAGAUGUUCAGCUAAGACAUUUUUUGCUGGUGCUCACUCUAUCCUAGAUGCAUGCUACAGACAGAAUGACCAUGUAGCCCAGGACUGAGCAAACUGUCAGUCUCCUCUUCAUAGGAAGGAAGAAUUAAGGAAGUCGGGAGCCUGAGGCAGGAGAAUGGCAUGAACCCAGGAGGCAGAGCUUGCAGUGAGCUGAGAUGGUGCCACUACACUCCAGCCUGGGUGACAGAGUGAGCCUCCGUCAAAAAAAAAAAAAAAAAAAAAGAAAGGAAGAAAGUCGGUUUCAUGACCAUGAAAACUAAGAGCAAUUGUUAAGAAUUCUAAGAAGCUGACUUAGUAAUUGUGUUAGUCCAUUCUUGCACUAAUAUGAAGAAAUACCUGGCCAGGCACAGUGGCUCAAGCCUAUAAUCGCAGCACUUUGGGAGGCCGAGGCGGGUGGAUCACCUGAGGUCAGGAGUUCAAGACCAGCCUGGCCAACAUGGUGAAACCCCAUCUCUACUAAAAAUGCAAAAAUUAGCCAGGUGUGGUGGUAGGCACCUGUAAUCCCAGCUACUCGGGAGGCUGAUGUGGAAGAAUUGCUUGAACUCAGGAGGUGGAGGCUGCAGUGAGCCAAGAUCACACCACUGCACUCCAACCUAGGCAACAGAGCGAGAUCCCGUCUCAAAAAAAAAAAAAAAAAAAAAAAGCAAAGGAAAGAAAUACCUGAGGCUAGGUAAUUUGUAAAUAAAAGUGGUUUUAUCAGCUCAUGGUUCUACAGGUUGUACAGGAAACAUAGUGCCAGCAUCUGUUCACCUUCUGGUGAGGGCCUCAGGAAGCUUACAAUCAUGGCAGAAGGUGACUGGGAGCCAAUGUAUCACAUGGUGAGACCUGGAACAAGAGAGACACAUGGGAGGCCCCAGACUCUUUUCAGACUCAUUGAAACCACCAGGUCUCACAUGAACUAACUGAGCGAGAACUCACUUAUCACCAAGGGGAUGGCAUUAAACCAUUCAUGAGGGACCCACCCCCAUGAUCCAAUCACUUCCCACCAGGUCCCACCUCCAACACUGGGAAUCACAUUUCAACAUGAGAUUUGGAGGGAACAAACAUCCAAAUCAGCAAUAAUUCAUGAUUUGUUUGAUUUUUGUCUAAGGCAGACUGUUGAAUUUUGUCACAAAAGACAGUUUCAUCUUGGCCUGAUUUCUACAAGGCCAAGACUUAAGGUUCUACCUGUGGUAUCCCAGACAAUACACCCACCCUUCCACCCAUUGAGGUGCAUUGAAAGAGAACAUUUAAAACUCAUUUGUGUUCCUUAAAGGAUCAAUUAUAAAACUGCAAUUAAUAACAGUCACCUUUUAAAAGGAAGAUUCUCCUUUCACAAAUGAAUUUUUAGAUCUACAACGCAUAAUACUGUCUCCUGCUUUUUUUAAGAUGAAAGUCAAAAGCAGCAGGAGGUGUCUACAGUUCAGUGAGUAUUUACUUCAUUUGAAUUGCAGAGGCGGGGAAAUUCCUUUUCAAUGGGAUGAGCCUUUGAAGCUCGGGUUAUUAGGACUUACAGGUGAAUUGCUCGUAUGAUCAGCAGUAGAAGUUUAUUCAUAAGGCACUAAGUACAAAGCAUCAUGUUAACCUUACCCCUUCAUCUCGGGCCAGAUGAGUUUUUGUUUUCAAAUAAUGGCAUAGAUCCCUAGGGUUCCUUCUAUUUCCUCCCAAUAUUCUCUCAAAACCUUACAAAGAGUGCCAGGAGCAUGCACUUUGAAAAUCUGUGCUCUUAAACAGCAGUUACCCUUUAUCCCUAGUUUUACUUUCCACAGUUUCAGUUAUCUGUGAUCAACCUUGAUCCAAAAAUAUUAAAUGGAAAAUUCCAGAAAUAAAUAAUUCAUCAAUUUUAAGUUGUAUGUCAUGCUCAAUGGCAUGAUGAAAUCUCUGACCUUCCCAUUCUGUUCAACCUGUGAUGUGAACCAUCCCUUUGUCCAGUGUAUUCCACCCUUUAGUCACUUCGUAGCCAUCUCAGUUAUCAGAUCAAAAACCGUAGAUUCUCUAGGCUUCAGUACUACCUGUGGUCUCACACAUCCACUUGGGGUCUUGGAAUGUAUCCUCUUUGGAUAAGGAAGGACUGCUGUACUGUCAAUUUAGUUAACAAAAUUUGUCCUGAUGGAGCUAGUUCCAUCCUGUGGCAGGACUUUUUUCUUCCUUUUAUUUUUAAACACUACCUGUGCAUUGGUUAGGACAUGUUUGGCUUCAAGUAUCAAAAAGCUCAAAUAACAUAUGGGUCCACCUUUUUCGAGUAACAAGAAAUCCAGAGAUAAGCAAUUCUGAGCUGCUUUAGCUGCAUAUGUGAAUCGGCAAAGAUCAAGGUUCUUCUACACCCCAGUUUUUCAUUAGUAGAGUGAAUGUUUUAUUCUUAUGAUCACAAUAUGGCUGCUGAACCUCUGAGCAUAGUGUUUUGUCUUCUAGGAAAAGAAAGAAAACAACGGGAAAGGCAAGGGGCCAAAAUGAUGUGCCAUCCAAGUCUAAAUAUUUUCUUCAAAAUUUUUCUUAGAAGCCCUUCUGCUUACAGCUCAUUAGAUAAAACUGGGUUAAUUGGCCAUCCCUAGCUGCAAGGAAGUAUUAGAUUUGAGUAUUUUAGUUGAGUAUAUUUCCUCCCCAAAGACAAUUAGAAUUUUCUUAGUAUAUAAGAAGGAAACAUGGGUAAUGUCCAGGCAACCAUCAGUGUCUGUCAUAGCAGGAUCUAGGAAUGAGAGUCACAUCUUAAUGGAAAAAUCACUUGCAUUAAAAAUACUAAAACCUCUUUUUCUUGAGAUACGUCUACUUUCAACAGGAACAUAAGCAGAGUUAGCCAAAGCAUCAAAACAGGAAUGCUAACUUGGUUGAAAUCAAUGAGCCUUGAACAUCACUGAAAUAAUGAGCUUUGGAUUGCAUUGCCUUUCCUAGAGUCAUAAAUAUGUUUCUGAAAAUGUUUAAUUUAAAUUUAAUAGGUAUUUUCCAUCAUAAGAUGAGUUCAUUCCUAAAACCACUUGCUUUAAAAGCAAGAUUCUCUGUGUUAAAUCUUAGCAGCCCCACUGUCUCCCAUUUUAAAAUUAGAACUCUAUUCUUAAAAGAAUUUUGACCACCAGAAAUCAGGUCUAAGAAAGCAGCAAACUCAAAAAUUAUACCUUUAUUCCCCUGUUUUCCCAUCUAGAUUAUUAAAUCCAUUAGGGAAGGAAUAACGUUUACUUCAUCCACUACUGUAUUCUAGGUACUCACCACAAGGUCUGAAGUGUAAAACAUAGUCAAUUAACAUUUUACAAAUAAAUUUAUGUACUUAAAAUAAAAAUUAUUACUUUCCAAAAAACCUUCUUAUUGGAGCUCAAAAUAAAUCUAAAAUAUGACUGUAAACCAGAAAAACAUCAUAAUCUUACUCAUCUUAAUCUGAAAAGUGUUAGAUAAAAUUCAAGAUAAAUCUCUGAUUUAAUAAUAACAAAACACUCUUAACAAGCUUGAGAUAAAAGUCAACUUCUAAAACAUAAGAAUAUCUAUAUCGAAUCAACAGACGAGACCACACUUUUAAAACUCUAACAGCAGUUCCAUUAAAACCAGAAGCAGGACCCCCAAAAAAGGAUCUCUUCUUAACAAUAUUAUUAAACAUUUUUUUCUGAAAUGUGGCUACUAAAGUUAGAUUAGAAAAUAAUGAUAAGCAUAAUUAUUUGAAAGUAGAAGAUGAAAGUAUUGGCAGAUUAUAUGACUAUCCUCUAGAAAAUUCAAAAGGAUCAAUUUAAAAAGUUAGAAAUGAAAGUUUAGUAAAUUGACUGGAUACAGAAUAAAUGUUGAGAAUAUGCCAGCGACGAUCAGUUAGAAAAUAUCUGUGUUAUAAUAUUGAUGAGAAAUGCUGGCUAGAAAAUAUUUGUGAUAUAAUAUUGAUGAGCAAUGCUGGCUUUAACACACACAUGCACACACAAUUAUAUUAAUAUUGAAAUAGAAAUGUAUAGAGAGAUACAGAAAUAGAUGUAAGUAAAUUACUUAACCUCAUUAGUGUUAGCCAAACAACAUUAUAUUAAGAAAUCCUUCACACCUGUAAUCCCAGCACUUUGGGAGGCUGAGGUGGGAGGAUUAUGAGGUCAGGAGAUCAAGACCAUCCUGGCUAACAUGGUGAAACCCCGUCUGUACUAAAAAUACAAAAAAUUAGCCGGGCAUGGAGGCGUGCACCUGUAGUCACAGCUACUCAGGAGGCUGAGGCAAGAGAAUCACUUGAACUCGGGAGGCGGAGGUUGCAGUGAACUGAGAUCACACCACUGCACUCCAGCCUGGGUGACAGAGCGAGACUCUGUCUCAAAAAAAAAAAAAAAAAUGAAAUCCUGGUUGCCAUUUACCUGUGAGCUUUCUAUAGAGCAGCCCAGGUAAGAAAAGUUUCAUCAAAACAAUCAACACCGGGCAUAGGUACAUAUACAACUGAAACCUUCAACCAUGGAUCCAUAUUUGAAAACUCAUUUCUUCUGGCCACAGUAUCUUCAUAAGUACAUAGAUCUCUCCUGGUGCACCUUUAGCUCCACAUUCUACCUUAGUUUCAACCUCUUACAGAAUGAUCACCUGCUUUUUCAAGUUGUCUUUCAAAAGUGGGUUUUGUAAAUGGUACAUAUCUCGUAUUGUAAGGGAAGUCACCCUAAAUCCACCCUCCAUAUUUGGUUUAAAUUAAUCCAGGCCAAGAGGUAGAAAGGUAAUUCUAUUUCCAUUGAUAUAUCAAAGCUUGAGACAUUUAUAAUGGGAUUAGAGAUUUAUAAAAAUUUUGUGCUUUCAUUAUAUUUUCCAAUUUUCUACAAUGAAUAGACAUUACUUUUAGAAUUUUUAAAGAUCUUAAUCCAUCCCUUUCCCUCAGCCUCCAUGUAGUAUCUCUCAGCAAGCCUCGCCAGGAUAUGCCUCAAGUUUCAAACUUCAAAAUACAUCUCAAAUCCUGCCAGCACUUCUCUCUAUGGCUGCCAUCUGGUCCAACACAUGGUCAUCUCCUUCCAGAAGCUGUAAUAAACUCCUGAUCCAUCUCACCACUCCCUCUCCUGCUGCUAUCAGUUCUCCAAUCCAAUAUAGGUCAAGAUGGUGCCUCUCUAUAAGCUGAGAAACAGCAAAUAUUGUGAGUGAGCAGGCAAACCAUAGGCAGAGGUAAGGGCUAUGGAGUCAAGAGAUGGACCAUGAUCCCCACAAAAGAAACAGAAGAGUGGUCCAGGCCCAUUCAGUUCCAACACCAAACCAUAUUCAUUCUCCUAAUAAAUUCCUCCUUCCUGGCUUAAUCUGAGUAGGUCUCUGAGCCCAGUUAAAACAGACUAAAAGAAUAAGCAAAUAAGCAAAGACUGGACAUUUUUUUAAAUAGAAAACUGAUAAGUGAGCGCAAAGACUAAUUCAAGGUAACAGUUUAUGGGGUACAAUGAGGCAACAAUUAAGUCCAUGUGAAAUUAUAAAUCAUCCAAUAAAUGGGUCUGGAGGAGUUGGGAAGAAGAGACAAUUUCAAGUUAGAUCCAUGCAACAGAACAAAGUUGAAUUUUUUUACUUAUAAUUUAAUUAAUGUUUAUUUUUAGAUAUACAAUUGUACAACGUAGUUAAACAUGUUUAAUUAUAUAUAUGUCAAAAAUACCAUAAGUAAAAAUAAAAGGCAAGUGGCCAGGUAUUACCUGAUAUUGCAAUAUAUGUGAUAAAAGUUAUGAUCUUAUCAAAAAAGAUAUUCUUAUUAAUCAUUAAUAAGAAAAAGAAUGCCUCCCUUUGAAAAAUGAGCAAAGAACAUAAGCAGACGCUUUAUAAUAGAAAAAAAUAUGUGGCCAAUAAAAAUGGAAAAAAAAGUUCAACUUUAUACUCAAUAAUUGUGAAGUAAAAGAAUGUGAAUAAAAUUGGCAAAUAUGAAGAUAAAAGAUGAUAUUUAUUAUGGGUGAGGGUGUCACUAUGAGACAGGCACUCAUGCUCUGCUGAUGGAAGUAUAAAUUGGAACCAGAAUUAUCACUGUUCUUAAAACAUAUUAAAAUAUUAAUAUCCACUCCUAGAAACUUGUGUGUGUCCAACACAAGCAAGGAUUAUUUCCAAAAACGUUUAUUGCAGUAUUACUUAUAACAGUGAGGACCUGGCAACAACCAACAAAAUUAGCAAAUGAGAACAUUUAAAAUAUCCUAAGUCUAUUUUAUGACAUUGGAGAAUUAUCAUGGCUAUUGAUUUUAAAAACAGCUCAUGAAGUAAUAAAUUUAGUAUGAUGCCAAUUUCAUUAAAUGUUAUGCAUUUCUAUGGAGAUAGAAAAAACCUGUAAUAGAGAUAAAAUAAAAUGUUAACAAUGGCUAUAUGGUGAUAUUAUGGGUAAAUAUUCUUGUAGUCUUUCUAAUUUUUUUCUAUUUUUUUAAUAUUUCACAAAACUAAUGCAUGCAUGCUCAUGGCAAUCUGGAAGAUACACUAUAAACACACACACUUGUAUGUAUGUAGGUAGGUUUGCAUUUUCCUAAAAGCAAAUAGAAAGAAUUAUCAGGAGUGGGUUCAUGUUGAAUCAAAUAAUGUCAAGCAGCUUAAAAGAAAAGUUUUGUUACAGCUCUCUUCCAUACCCCUGCUACCCUCUUAUUUUAAAAUAAAUUUUGUCCCAAUUAUUCUAAUUAUAUGAAGUUAUUUUAGGACUCUGUAUGCAUACUUGUAUUAGUCUGUUCUUGCACUGCUAUAAAGAAACACCUGAAACUGGAUAAUUUAUAAGGAAAAGAGGUUUAAUUGGCUCACAGUUUUGUAGGCUAUGUAUAGGAAGCAUGGCUGGGGAGGUCUCAGGAAACUUACAAUCAUGGCAGAAGACAAAGGGGAAUCAGGCACAUCUUACAUGGCCAGAGCAGAAGGAAGAGAGAGUAGGGGAAGGUGCCACACGCUUUCAACAAGCAGAUCUCGUGAGAACUCACUGUCAUGGUAACAGCAAGGGGGAAAUCCACCCCCAUGAUCCAAUCACCUUUCACCAGGCCCCUCCUCCAACACUGGGGAUGGCAAGUCAACAUGAGCUUUGGGAGGGGAUACAACUCCAAACCAUAUCAAUACUCCUGUGUGCAAUGCCUGACACGUGGUGAGUCCUCAAUAAAUACUGGUUGGAAGAAUGAAUAAAUGCUACAGCACAGAUGAGGACGAGGGUCUUCUAAACCCUUUGAUGGUAAUUUCUGGACACAAGUUUGAAUCCAUCUAAAUAGACUAUUGGUCCUGCUGUUUAGCUACUUUUAGAAAUGCCUCAAUAUUAACUACUUUGAAAAGAAAAAUCAUUAUUUGUAGCAGAUGCUCUCUAAACUUUAAUUGGUUUAACACCUAUAAUCCCAUGCAGCAAGUUAAUUUACUUAGCUACUUGGGGGCACAUUUUGCAAUUAAUAUUUUCCCGUGAGUUCACUGUGAUGCUCAUUGCUUAAACCCAAAUGAUUCACAAAAGCAUCAUUGAGAUUUUUUACAACUGCUGCACUGGGUGACAGUAACACCUGUGGUGAAAAUUUUUCAAGAUAAAUUACCUGGGCCCAGCUCUAUAAUAUGGGAAUUUCAGGAGUUAAUUGAUCAAUCAUUUAUUUGUAGAGAUGGUGCCAGAAAUUAUGAUGAGGGGGGUUCUGUCUUUGCUUAUAGAUUCUAAGGCCCAUAUUUAUAAAAUAGUGAGAUAGUCAGACAGAAUAAGCUCUGAAAAUACAUAAACAUGAUGCAAAAUGUAUCCCUGCUUACCUAGCAAAACAUAUGAAUCCAGUCGUCACAAAACAUACAAAACUUUCACAGCAGAAUCUCCUCAGAAGAUGUACUCACUGUCUAAUUAUCUAUGACCCAGCUCUCAUCCCAAGCCUAUUGAGAGAUAUUCAUUAUAUAAACCUUACAAUAGCAGAUAUAAAUGUAAUUUUCUUUAUUUUCUUAUAUUGAACUUAACCAAGAGCAAUAAGAGAAAAACCUAAUCUAGUUGUUUGUGGUAACCAGCUGCCAUGAUGGCCUCAGUGAUCUUUGCCUUCUUGUAUUCCUAGCUUAGGUAGUCCCCUCUCAUACUGAAUAGGGCUGACCUGUGUGACCUAGAACAGUGUUCCCAACCUUUUUGGCACCAGGGACCAGUUUUACGGAAGACAAUUUUUCCACGGACCAGGGGAUGGAGGAGGUGAUGAUUUCAGGA
rnacentral:lncRNA from 1 species